rnacentral:lncRNA from 1 species
AUCCCAGCCUUCAAGGAUCUUACAUUCCUACUGGGGAGACAACAUAUAUAUAUAUAUAUAUAUAUAUAUAUAUUAGUGAUAGGAACAGACCUAUAAUUUCAUUGGUAUCGCCUAUACCAAACAGGGGUCCCCAAACUUUUUAAACAGGGGGCCAGUUCACUGUCCCUCAGACCAUUGGAGGGCCAGACUAUAAAAACCUAACCUAACCAGGCAGCAAUAUACACAGUGUGGAAUCCCCUCCCCCAGAUCACUGCUCACCAUGCUGAUGUCUUCCAUUGUGCCGCCACAUAAUCUUUUGCACUGGCGCCUCGUUCUAAGGAUCCACGCAAAGGAUUAUGUCACCGGAAGUAGUACUGUACAGGAGCAACACAGUGCUUUGCGGAGCAGCCACCUACAGUGCUCCUCUCAUGGACCACCAGUGAAAGAGUCAAAAAUAUGUCUCAAAGAAAUUUCCCUGCCAACUGCCAGUAUGGAUUUCCUCAGGUGCUAUGGAUACUAAUAGAGUCAGAGGUGGUAGUAGGAGAUCUCCAGAGGAUGAAAAACUUUCAUAAGCUUAUAGACUAGUAAGUAAACUCAUCUGAACUUUUUUUUUGGGUCUCAUUCAUAUAUCCUGUUUAUUGGGUACAAAAGAU